AUUGAACGCUGGCGGCAGGCCUAACACAUGCAAGUCGAGCGAGUGGCGGACGGGUGAGUAAUGUAUGGGGAUCUGUCAGAUAGAGGGGGAUAACUACUGAAAACGGUGGCUAAUACCGCAUACUAUCAGAUGAUCCCAGAUGGGAUGAGCUAGUUGGUGGGGUAAAGGCUCACCAAGGCGACGAUCCCUAGCUGGUCUGAGAGGAUGAACGGCCACACUGGAACUGAGACACGGCCCAGACUCCUACGGGAGGCAGCAGUGGGGAAUAUUGCACAAUGGGCGCAAGCCGGAUGCAGCCAUGCCGCGUGUAUGAAGAAGGCCUUAGGGUUGUAAAGUACUUUCAGCGGGGAGGCGUUACCCGCAGAAGAAGCACCGGCUAACUCCGUGCCAGCAGCCGCGGUAAUAC
rnacentral:rRNA from 1 species